rnacentral:rRNA from 1 species
UGGGGAAUCUUGCACAAUGGGGGCAACCCUGAUGCAGCGACGCCGCGUGAGCGAUGAAGCCCUUCGGGGCGUAAAGCUCUUUCGACCGGAACGAUAAUGACGGUACCGGGAGAAGAAGCUGCGGCUAACUACGUGCCAGCAGCCGCGGUAAUACGUAGGCAGCAAGCGUUGUUCGGAGUUACUGGGCGUAAAGAGUGCGUAGGCGGUUUUCUAAGUUCGGUGUGAAAUCUCCCGGCUUAACUGGGAGGGUGCGCCGAAGACUGGGAAGCUGGAGUGUGGGAAAGGCAGGCGGAAUUCCUGGUGUAGCGGUGAAAUGCGUAGAUAUCGGGAGGAACACCGGCGGUGUAGACGGCUUGCUAGACCAUAACUGACGCUGAGGCACGAAAGCGUGGGUAGCAAACA